rnacentral:rRNA from 1 species
AAAACUAGUCAGACCCAUAGGUAUGAAACCCAUUUGAGCGAGAGUAGUACUAGGAUGGGUGACCUCCUGGCAAGUCCUCGUGAAAGGGUUUC